rnacentral:rRNA from 1 species
CCCAGUUCCGGCGUUGCCUAUACAUGCAAGUCGAGCGAAUCGAUGGGAGCUUGCUCCCUGAGAUUAGCGGCGGACGGGUGAGUAACACGUGGGCAACCUGCCUAUAAGACUGGGAUAACUUCGGGAAACCGGAGCUAAUACCGGAUACGUUCUUUUCUCGCAUGAGAGAAGAUGGAAAGACGGUUUACGCUGUCACUUAUAGAUGGGCCCGCGGCGCAUUAGCUAGUUGGUGAGGUAAUGGCUCACCAAGGCGACGAUGCGUAGCCGACCUGAGAGGGUGAUCGGCCACACUGGGACUGAGACACGGCCCAGACUCCUACGGGAGGCAGCAGUAGGGAAUCUUCCGCAAUGGACGAAAGUCUGACGGAGCAACGCCGCGUGAACGAAGAAGGCCUUCGGGUCGUAAAGUUCUGUUGUUAGGGAAGAACAAGUACCAGAGUAACUGCUGGUACCUUGACGGUACCUAACCAGAAAGCCACGGCUAACUACGUGCCAGCAGCCGCGGUAAUACGUAGGUGGCAAGCGUUGUCCGGAAUUAUUGGGCGUAAAGCGCGCGCAGGUGGUUCCUUAAGUCUGAUGUGAAAGCCCACGGCUCAACCGUGGAGGGUCAUUGGAAACUGGGGAACUUGAGUGCAGAAGAGGAAAGUGGAAUUCCAAGUGGGGCGGGGGAGAUGGCGUAGAG